CAUUGCGAAGUUAGUGCUUUUACCUUUUGCUCUAUUUCUUUUUAUUAAAGAAAUAUUUAUUAUUCAAUAGUAUUAAGUUAUUUUGAGGGUUGCGGCAAUUCUGUAGCAAAAGAGUUCAAGUCUGUCCAUCAAUCAAAGUCUGUUUGUAAGCUUGAGACUAAGAUGUUUUAUUUUGAUGAAGAUGUGCUUCUACUAAGGUGGUUGCUAGUGUAUGCUAAGGUAUUUAUCGCUGUCAUCUGAGAGUAGCUGUUUUUCAUUUAGCAGAACAGCUUACAAAGGUCAUUUUGGAGGUAGUGUGAAGUUGUUGCUGAAUUUGUAUGAUUUAAGAUCGUCUGCACAUGCUGGGUCCCAAAACACUACAUUGAGAUCAGUGACUACGCGUGCCGUAUCUGGAAAGGUUUUCGGCCCUUCUACAAUGUUGUUUUUACAUGUACAACUUAAUAAAUUGAAAUAUAUGAGUUGUUUUA